AUGGUCUUCAAGGGCCGCUUCUUCUCGUCGCGGCACAAGUCGUCCGAGUCCUCCAGCCCCGACGGCAGCAACAGCCCGCGCACGCCCACCUCCGCCCCCGGGGCGGCCUCCGCGGCCUCGCCGGCCUCCUCCUCCGCCUCCUCCAGAUCCGACAAGAAGAAGCCCAAAUCCGAGACCCCCAAGAAGCGCGACAAGCUCUUCGGCUCCGCCGCCGUCGCCGUGCCCUCCCCCAGGGCCUCCCCGGCCUCCUCCACCUCCAGCCCCUCCGCCGCCAAGCACCACCUCAGGGAUGCGGCCCCCGCCGCCGCGCUCUCGCCGAUCCUCGCCUCCUCGCUCGGCCUCAACAAGAUCAAGACGAGAUCCGGCCCGCUGCCGCACGAGGGCCAGCGGAUGGCCGCCGCGCUCGGGAGCAGCAACCUCGCGCGCGGCCACUCCCAGGCGGGGACAGCCUCCGGGAAGAAGGGCGUCAGCUCGUGGGCCGAUUCCACCAGCGCUGGCAGUGCUAGUAACCGGGGCAAGGGAAAGGCCGCCGAGCAGCCCGUGCAACCCGUGCGCGCCGUGGAACCGGAAGGGAAGAGCGCUGCAAAAGCUAAAUCUAAUUCAUUUCGGAACCAUUCGGGAGAUUUGAGGACUCCGCCCCAAAUACCAGCGACCGUGUCUUCAUAUGAUGCCUGUGAAACGCCAAAGGAAUCCGAGUCUCCACGCUUCAAGGCCAUUAUGCAGGCUACCAGUGCACCAAGGAAGAGAAACCCUUCAGAUAUAAAGAGUUUUUCACAUGAGUUGAACUCCAAAGGGGUCCGACCAUUCCCAUUCUUGAAACCUCGAGGCGUAUACAACUUGAAGGAGGUGUUAAAAGUUAUUCAGGUGAGAUUUGAGAAGGCAAAGGAAGAGGUAAAUACAGAUUUGGCAGUUUUUGCGGGGGACUUGGUUAGUGUAAUGGAGAAGUACGCAGACUCUCAUCCUGAGUGGAAAGAAACUUUGGAGGAUUUGUUAAUACUUGCACGCAGCUGCUCUGUAAUGACACCCGGGGAACUUUGGCUGCAAUGUGAAGGUAUAGUGCAAGAUUUGGAUGAUCAACGUCAGGAGCUCCCAAUGGGUGUGCUGAAGAAGCUUUACACUCGGAUGCUCUUUAUCCUUACAAGAUGUACAAGGCUGCUCCAGUUUCACAAGGAGAGUGGAUUUGCUGAGGAUGAAAUUGUUAUGGAUCAGCGAGAUAAGAUUAUACAAUCUGCUGAUAACAAGAUUUUAACCCAAUCAGGUCCACAUGCUACAACAAGCAGAAGUAGCAAAAGCGAUGCAAGAAAAUCAUACAGUCAAGAGCAGCAUAAUCUGAAAUGGAGAAGAAGCCAGGAGAUAAAACCUGUUAAGCUUCUGCCCCUUGACACUGAUAUCAAGAAAGAGGUUGAAUCUCCAACCAGAGAACGGAUUUCUUCCUGGAAACCUUUUCCAUCACCUGUUCCAAAGCCCCCAAAAGAACCUACCCCUAUUAAAGAGGAAUCGCCUACUAAGAAAAUAGAUACACUCGCUACGAUUCCUAGCGGCGUUGAGUUAACCAGUCCAGUAGAAUCUGUAUCACAUCAACCACUUCCUCCCAAGCAUCAACACAAAACUUCAUGGGGACACUGGUCUGACCAGCCAAAUAUUUCUGAAGAGGGUUCAAUAAUGUGUCGCAUAUGUGAAGAAUAUAUCCCUACAAAUUACGUAGAAAAUCAUUCGGCAGUCUGUGCAAUCGCUGACAGGUGUGACCAAAAAGGUGUAAGCGUUGAUGAACGUUUAGUAAGAGUUGCAGAAACACUUGAAAAGUUGGUCGAGUCUUAUACGCAGAGAGACCUUAUCAAUUCUGUCAGCAGCCCAGAUGCUGCAAAAGUUUCAAAUCCAAGCAUCAAUGAAGAAUCUGAUGGUGCCUCUCCAAAACUGUCUGAUUGGUCUAGAAGAGGUUCUGCUGAUAUGAUCGACUAUCUCCAAGAGGCUGAUAACACUAUUUCGUUGGAUGAUAUAAAAAAUCUUCCUUCAAUGACAUGUAAGACUCGCUUUGGGCCGAAAUCUGAUCAUGGAAUGGCUACAUCAUCGGCAGGAAGUAUGACUCCUCGAUCUCCACUAACGACUCCAAGAUCAAAUCAUAUAGACAUGCUUUUAGCUGGGAGAAGUGUGAUUAAUGAGAGUAACGAUCUUCCACAGAUUGUUGAACUUGCUGAUAUUGCACGAUGUAUUGCAAAUACUCCUCUGGAUGAAGAAAGUGCUUUGUCCCAAUUGGUCACUUGCAUAGAAGAUCUGCAAGAAAUUGUCAAUCGUAGGAAGCAUGAAGCCCUCACAGUGCAAACAUUUGGCACUCGCAUAGAAAAGCUCCACCGGGAGAAAUACCUGCAGCUUUGUGACUCAGUUGAUAUGGACAAGGUUGACUCGUCGAGUACCAUAAUGGACGAAGAAGAUGAUGUUGUUCGUAGCUUACGAGCAAGUCCUGUUCAUCCAGUCAAGGAUCGUACUUCAAUCGAUGACUUUGAAAUCAUAAAACCUAUCAGCCGCGGAGCAUUUGGACGUGUUUUCUUGGCCAAGAAAAGAACUACAGGAGACCUCUUUGCUAUAAAGGUACUUAGGAAGGCAGAUAUGAUUCGGAAAAAUGCCGUCGAAAGUAUAUUGGCUGAACGCGAUAUAUUGAUCACGGUCAGGAAUCCUUUUGUGGUUCGUUUCUUCUAUUCGUUUACCUCUCGGGAAAAUUUGUAUCUGGUCAUGGAGUACUUAAAUGGAGGCGACCUGUAUUCUUUACUGAGAAAUUUAGGGUGCUUGGAUGAAGAUGUUGCUCGUGUAUAUCUUGCAGAAGUUGUGCUAGCUUUGGAAUAUUUGCACUCCAUGCAGAUUGUUCACAGAGAUCUAAAACCUGACAACCUAUUGAUUGCUCAUGAUGGGCAUGUAAAGUUGACAGAUUUUGGGUUGUCCAAGGUUGGUCUGAUCAAUAGCACAGAUGAUCUAUCUGGCCCUGCUGUUAGUGGGGCUUCAUUGUAUGGAGACGAGGAACCUCAGAUGAAUGAAUUAGAGGAAAUGGAUCACCGAGCACGGCGACAAAAGCGUUCUGCGGUUGGAACCCCUGAUUAUUUAGCACCAGAAAUCCUUUUGGGGACAGGGCAUGGUACUAGUGCAGAUUGGUGGUCUGUAGGUGUAAUUCUUUUUGAGUUACUUGUUGGAAUACCUCCAUUUAAUGCAGAGCACCCUCAGACAAUUUUUGACAAUAUUCUUAAUCGCAAAAUACCUUGGCCACAUGUCCCAGAAGAGAUGAGUUUUGAAGCGAAAGAUCUAAUUGACAAAUUUUUGACAGAAGACCCUCAUCAACGUCUAGGAUCAGAUGGUGCCUCUGAGGUCAAACAACAUCCAUUCUUUAAGGAUGUUAGCUGGGAUACCAUUGCUAGGCAGAAGAAAAAUCAUUUGCAGGCUGCCUUCGUUCCCUCCUCAGAUAGUGCAUUUGAUACCAGCUACUUCACCAGCCGUUACUCUUGGAAUCCAUCAGAUGAAAACAUGUAUGAAGCAUAUGAGUUUGAGGAUUCCAGUGAGAAUGGAAGCCUUAGUGGCAGCAGUAGUUGCGUGAGCAAUCACCAAGAUGACAUGGGGGAUGAGCAUGGAGGUGGCCCCACCGACUUUGAAUCCGGCCCAAAUGUCAAUUACUCUUUCAGUAACUUCUCGUUCAAGAAUCUUUCACAACUUGCAUCCAUCAAUUAUGAUCUGCUGACGAAAGGAUUGAAGGACGAGCCUCCUAUGAAACCUGAAACAUAG
rnacentral:rRNA from 1 species